rnacentral:snRNA from 1 species
GUGAGAGUCAUCUGGCUUCAACAUCACCCCAUUGAUCACCAGGGUUGUUUGGGCUGAUCUGUCUGGCUAGGCAGGUGCCCCUUCCAACCUUACUGUUCCAUGUGCAUCCCUCCUGAAGCCGAGAGCUUAAUCGAAGGGAGCAACCUUCCCAGAUAGAGAGGACUGUUGGUCAUCCAGGUCAUCAAACUACUACAACUGGUAGUUGUGCUACUGUGCUAGAACCUCCAGAUAAGUUCUCAGUAUAAACCAGUGAUUCUGAGAAACAGUUAUAUUAAAAAUAAAUUAUUCUCCUGAUUAAUACAUUGCUUUAAAUAAAGGUUCUGAUGUACAUU